GGCUGGUCUGAGUGCAGUGGUGUUUACAACUAAUUGAUCACAACCAGUUACAGAUUUCUUUGUUCCUUCUCCACUCCCACUGCUUCAUUUGACUUGCCUUUA
rnacentral:Y_RNA from 1 species